UUAUUCCGGGAUCGAGAAAAUCCAGCUCCAGAAAUGCCGUUUAUGAAGGGAAAGGCUCCCAUCCGGAGGACAAUACAGUACCUCAAAUCAGGAAGGCUUGAACUGAAAAAACAAGUGAAGAUUUUCAGUGUAAACUACAAUACUUUCGGUGAUCAUCACAAGGGAGCCAGGGAUUAUGUCUUCUGGAACCUACCUCAAAUUCAGUACAAGAAUCCUGAUGUUCAAGUCAUUACAUUCAAGAAUAUGACCCCUUCUCCUUUUAUCCGCUGCUACUUUGAAAAUGGCAAAGACAUCAUCAUAGAUAUUGACAGCAAGAGUAGAGAAGAGAUAGAUGGUCAUUUGAUCAAUGUUCUCGGAAAAUCCAAAGAACUCCUUGAGGCAGAAGCAAAAAUGGCUGAGAAGCAAGACAAUCCGGCAAAUUUUGGCUAUGGUUGCGCCAAGCCCUGCAUGUGCACGAUUCCCGGACAAGUACCCUGUCCAGCUGUUGUCCCUUUGCCCUACCACAUGCGCGGAAAAUACAAAUACCAGAAGGAUUAAUUUAAGCGAAUUACUGAACUUAUAUCGCAAGAUUCUUUGGGAGUGAACGGAUGUAGAGAGGAUCGCUAAGGUUUCAUGCUGAAUUUUUAAACAAAUUUUGUUAAGUAAGAAUCAGAGACAAUAUUUAACGAGUGAAAUAGUAACUGCAACAAUUAAUAACUUAAAAUAUUGCAUGUAUAUAAGAAUCAAAUGUGUUGACCCUAUCGGAGUCGUACUGUAUUUUCUUUUGAACAGCUUUAGAUUUAUGAUAUUUUUUGUCAAUUGGAUUAUGAUGACUUAGUAAAUGAAAUACAAUUAUCC